rnacentral:tRNA from 1 species
GGAUUGUGGCUCAGUGAUAGAGCGCUCACCUCUCAUUUGAGAGACCUGGAUUCGAUCCUCAGCACCA